AGGGAUUGCCUCAGUAACGGCGAGUGAAGCGGCAACAGCUCAAAUUUGAAAUCUGGUCCCCUUUGGGGGCCCGAGUUGUAAUUUGAAGAGGAUGCUUUUGGCGAGGCGCCGUCCGAGUUCCCUGGAACGGGACGCCGCAGAGGGUGAGAGCCCCGUACGGUCGGACGCCGAGCCUCUGUAAAGCUCCUUCGACGAGUCGAGUAGUUUGGGAAUGCUGCUCAAAAUGGGAGGUAAACCCCUUCUAAAGCUAAAUACCGGCCAGAGACCGAUAGCGCACAAGUAGAGUGAUCGAAAGAUGAAAAGCACUUUGAAAAGAGAGUUAAAAAGCACGUGAAAUUGUUAAAAGGGAAGCGCUUGCGACCAGACUUGCGCCCGUCGGAUCAACCGUCGCUUGCGGCGGCGCACUCCGGCGGGCUCAGGCCAGCAUCAGUUCGCUCGGGGGGAGAAAGGCGGCGGGAAUGUAGCUCCUCGGAGUGUUAUAGCCCGCCGUGUAAUACCCUCGGGUGGACUGAGGACCGCGCGUAUGCAAGGAUGCUGGCGUAAUGGUCGUCAGCGACCCGUCUUGAAACACGGACCAAGGAGUCGUCCUAAUAUGCGAGUGUACGGGUGUCAAACCCCUGCGCGUAAUGAAAGUGAACGGAGGUGAGAGCUUCGGCGCAUCAUCGACCGAUCCUGAUGUUAUCGGAUGGAUUUGAGUAAGAGCAUAUUGGGCCGGACCCGAAAGAAGGUGAACUAUGCCUGUGUAGGGUAAAGCCAGAGGAAACUCUGGUGGAGGCUCGCAGCGGUUCUGACGUGCAAAUCGAUCGUCAAACAUGGGCAUGGGGGCGAAAGACUAAUCGAACCUUCUAGUA
rnacentral:rRNA from 1 species